UACGUAGGCAGCGAGCGUUGUUCGGAAUUACUGGGCGUAAAGAGUGUGUAGGCGGUGCUCUAAGUUCGGUGUGAAAUCUCCCGGCUCAACUGGGAGGGUGCGCCGAAAACUGGGGGGCUUGAGUGUUGGAGAGGAAAGCGGAAUUCCUGGUGUAGCGGUGAAAUGCGUAGAUAUCAGGAGGAACACCGGUGGUGUAGACGGCUUUCUGGACAACGACUGACGCUGAGACACGAAAGUGUGGGGAGCAAACAGG
rnacentral:rRNA from 1 species